GACGAACGCUGGCGGCGUGCUUAACACAUGCAAGUCGAACGGAAGGGCCCUGCUUUUGUGGGGUGCUCGAGUGGCGAACGGGUGAGUAACACGUGAGUAACCUGCCCUUGACUUUGGGAUAACUUCAGGAAACUGGGGCUAAUACCGGAUAGGAGCUCCUGCUGCAUGGUGGGGGUUGGAAAGUUUCGGCGGUUGGGGAUGGACUCGCGGCUUAUCAGCUUGUUGGUGGGGUAGUGGCUUACCAAGGCUUUGACGGGUAGCCGGCCUGAGAGGGUGACCGGCCACAUUGGGACUGAGAUACGGCCCAGACUCCUACGGGAGGCAGCAGUGGGGAAUAUUGCACAAUGGGCGGAAGCCUGAUGCAGCAACGCCGCGUGCGGGAUGACGGCCUUCGGGUUGUAAACCGCCUUCGCCUGUGACGAAGCGUGAGUGGCGGUAAUGGGUAAAGAAGCACCGGCUAACUACGUG
rnacentral:rRNA from 1 species